CUGGCCGCAAGCUCGCGCAGCGGGGUCACGUGUUCAUACAUCGACGAGGUGAAGAGGGUGCAGGGUGACGGUUGACACAAUGGCGGACAGUAGCUCGAAAGCGACAAGGACGAAGAACGAAAAACGUCAAGAAUGAUAAGUCGAUUCCAAUUUGUGUUUUCUAUGUUUGUCUUUCUUUUCGCAGUCAGUCUUGUUGUUUAACCUUCUGUUUCAUGUAUCUUGUCAAGUUGUCAUAUACCAUCCUCCUUAGUGCCAAAUUAUUGAAAAUAUCUUCACAGCAACAACACCAGAACGGAUGAGCACGUCAGGGACAUCGUCAGCAGCAAGACUGAUGGCAGAAUUUCUGGAACAAUUUUAACCACACUUUGUUGAUAGUUAUCUGGAUCUGCUGCAUUAAAAGAAGAAAAGAGAAUAUGAACUUUGAAGAGACUCUGCGUCUUUCCUACUGAAAGUGGCACAAAAAGUCGAGAAGUCGUGUACAAAAACUCUAAAGGGAGAUAACUCGUUUGAAACGCAAUGCAAUGUUAGCAACUGUCAUGAUUGUUUGAAAUGGUGAAUAAGAUUAAAUCGCUAGUCAAAACCCAAGCGUUUUAAUAGCAUGGUAAAAUUAAACUGCGCUGUGUGACAAACAGGAUGUGACAGCAAUAUCAACGGUUGUGUUAUAUUACAAAAAGAUUUGCUUGCUACAGUGAACAUCAUGGGCAUUUAGAAGCUGAAUAAGUCGACAUCCUAGUUACCUACGUGGUACAGUCACCAGAAACAUUUGCACUGUGACGUCAAGCGGCAGAAUUUUCUUGGUUCAUUCAUGUCGUCUAAUUUAUCUCGUUGCUGAAAACAGCCUUUGAAUGGUACUUUAAAGGUUGUCGACGCCGUGAAAGCAAACGAAACGCUAGUUGAAGCACUGGACCAGCUGUCCACUGAUCGCUAUAUAUCUGUGAAAGAUAGAGAAUGAGGGGGAGAAUGCUUGUAUAUACAUGCGUACUAUCUUUAAUAAACAUGCGUGCAAUCAUAUA